GGAGAGGUGGCAGAGUGGUCGAUCGCGCCUGACUCGAAAUCAGGUGAGCCGGCAACGGUUCCGGGGGUUCGAAUCCCUCCCUCUCCGCCA
rnacentral:tRNA from 1 species